rnacentral:rRNA from 1 species
UACGAAGGGGGCUAGCGUUGCUCGGAAUUACUGGGCGUAAAGCGCACGUAGGCGGCUUUCUAAGUCGGGGGUGAAAUCCUGGAGCUCAACUCCAGAACUGCCUUCGAUACUGGAGAGCUUGAGUCCGGGAGAGGUGAGUGGAACUGCGAGUGUAGAGGUGAAAUUCGGUAGAAUAUUCGCAAGAACAGCCAGUGGCGAAGGCGGCCUGCGCUGGACCCGGGU